rnacentral:lncRNA from 1 species
UUUGGUGGUUAGUUGUGUGUUAGUUUGUCUCUAGGUCCCUGGUUCGAGUCGUCAAGUGUGCUUUGAGGGAAUUAUUUUGAUUAAGCUUUGUUCUAUUUCUAAAAAAAAUUAGAUUAGAUUUUAUUUUUUAUUCUUUUUUAUUAUUUGUUUUACUUAUAUUUUAUUAUUUUUAUUUUUCUGAUAUGAGAAGAGGAGUUCUUCUUUUUACGUUUUGUUUGGGGGGUUUCCUAUUAUUUCUCGGUACGGUUCCUCUGUUUUCCUCUCUUCCACUCUUCUCACGAAAUUCU